rnacentral:rRNA from 1 species
ACAGUGUCUGGUGGGUAGUUUGACUGGGGCGGUCUCCUCCUAAAGAGUAACGGAGGAGCACGAAGGUUGGCUAAUCCUGGUCGGACAUCAGGAGGUUAGUGCAAUGGCAUAAGCCAGCUUGACUGCGAGCGUGACGGCGCGAGCAGGUGCGAAAGCAGGUCAUAGUGAUCCGGUGGUUCUGAAUGGAAGGGCCAUCGCUCAACGGAUAAAAGGUACUCCGGGGAUAACAGGCUGAUACCGCCCAAGAGUUCAUAUCGACGGCGGUGUUUGGCACCUCGAUGUCGGCUCAUCACAUCCUGGGGCUGAAGUAGGUCCCAAGGGUAUGGCUGUUCGCCAUUUAAAGUGGUACGCGAGCUGGGUUUAGAACGUCGUGAGACAGUUCGGUCCCUAUCUGCCGUGGGCGCUGGAGAACUGAGGGGGGCUGCUCCUAGUACGAGAGGACCGGAGUGG